GUGCUUGGCCCUUAACAUUUCUUGUUUGCAUGAGUUUGAAUUGAUGCCACUUUCAACAGUCUACUCAAAGGGUGCCUAGGCAAGAUUGCAAGUAAAAGACUUCAGACUCAAUCAAAAAAACUUAUUUAAACCUGCCUUUCUCCAUAUUUCUUGACACCUUCUGCAGAAUAAGUGCAAACUAAACUGGUGUGAAUUCAAGGAUGCCUCGUAGUUUUCAAGACAAAGUUCAUACAGCAUAAUUUAAUCCCAGUGACCUCCAUCUGCCUCUGAUGAUAAUUUCAAUCUCCUGAAACCUUCUCAGAUAAUAACUACUAACAUUGAUUCUGUGCUUGCUUUUUGCGGUAACUAUUCUGAGCAAUUUGUCAGAAUUAAAUGCGAUUACAUAGGCAACAAUCCCAGGAAGGACUGAGACCCAGAAUGUGAAGAAGUUGCCCAGGGCCACCCAGCUGGUGUGUCCCCUUUCUGAGUCUUACUCAUCUUGCGAAGCAGUUCAAGACGAGCAGCCUUAUGGUACUGGAAACAGCUCAAAGAACAGGAUUGGCAAAACCUACUAUCCAGUGUUCAGGUCAACCAUUGGACUUACUUUGGGAGGAGUAAGUGAAAUGAAAGCAAGCAGAGGUUUUUGCUUCUCUCCGCACAUAUUUUCCUAAAAAUUAAAAUUUCCAAGCUCUUUGUGCUUGGCUAAAUCCAUUGGAUUUCAAAGGUUUAUAUUAAAUUUCAGGAUUAAAAUGAUUUGUGGAUGGGGGUGUGUUUGACAUCUAAGUUAUUUCUUUUACUUGUCAAAUAUGGGGAAGAAAGG